GGCAAGAUGGCCGAGCGGUCUAAGGCGCUGGAAUCAGGAUCCAGUCCUCACGGGCGUGGGUUCGAAUCCCACUCUUGUCA
rnacentral:tRNA from 1 species